rnacentral:rRNA from 1 species
CCUUCCGUAGGGUGAACCUGCGGAAGGAUCAUAGUAAUCGUCUUUGACGUUCGCUUUUUCCGUUGUCCUCGGGACGUUAAGGUGCUCUGGUCGAGGAUAAACGACCCCUCUGACCGAGGUGAAACCCGUCGCUCCGUGUUACCUCUCUUUGAGGCACACGUUAAAGAUCGUUCCGCGUUGUGAGUCUAACACCAGUUGUAUAAACUUUUUACAACCGGUAGCGCUGGAUCCCUUGGCACGUCAUUCGAUGAAGACCGUUGCAAAUUGCGAUAAAGUGAUGUGAUGCGCAAGUCCACCACUUAUACGUGAAUCAUCGAGUUGUUGAACGCAUUGCACCGCGCCCUAAUCCGGCUGCGGUAUGCCCCUUUGAGCGUCAUUGUAAUCCUUCGGGAGUCCUUUUCACAAGGACCCGAGUUCGGAGUCCUCGGUCCUCUUCUGGAUCGUGUUCUCUUAGAUGCGUCGUGCCGAUCGCCUGAUGGGUCCUCUAAUGCCUAAGCGUGGAGUUCCUUCAGAGUUCGAGAGGUGCUUGACCGGGUGUUGAGCUCGCGUCACCAAGUCUGCCUUCACCAGCAGUACUACAACGCAUGACCUCAUUGGGGUAGGACAACCCGCUAGACUUAAGCAUAUCAAUAAGCGGAGGAA